rnacentral:rRNA from 1 species
UUAUGAUUUAAAUUUUAACCUGAAUAAAAGUAGUUAUGUUCUUCAAAAUCAGAGAUUUUGGCGGUUAAAUUUAAUUUUUCAGAGGAACCUGUAUUAUAAUUGAUAAACCACGAUAGUUUAUACCUAAAUUUUAUUUGUAUAUCUCUAUGAUUGUUGGAACGUUUUUUUAGGAUAUUUUCUUUUUAUUUAUAAAUCUUAAGUUUAGGUCAAGGUGCAGUUUUAUUUAGAGUAAAUAUGGGUUACUUUAUUUUUUACUUUUUUUAUUUAAUAUUAUUUAAUUUAGGAUUUGAAAGUAAUUUAAAUUAAUUAAUUUGUUUGAAUAUUUUUAAUUAAUGU